rnacentral:lncRNA from 12 species
CAAUCCAACCCCAGGUGUGGCUUAGCCCUUUGGUGAGAAAAGGGAAGAGACAGCCCAACCUCAGGUAGCCGUGGUUUCCCGAGGGUGUGUGCUGGUGUGAAAGUCCCCUGUGUGCUGUGUUGAUGGCUACAGAGAAUAUUGACAAGGAACAGUCAAAACUGCCCUACUUCAGCACCGAGGGAAGUUAUUCUUCUUGUGAGUCUAGCUGGGAGUCCGCUGAUCUGGAGUGGAAUCGUCUGAGCUGGGUCUGUUCCACACAUCUUUUAUCCUUCAGCAUGGACCAAAGGCCCAGAUUUUCCAAAGUCUUUCAUGGCAAUGGCAGAUGCACAAAGGGACAAGCUAAAAUGUAAAAUUUUAAAAUCUUUUGUUAUAUUCACCUGCUAACAUUACAUUGUGUAAAGCAAAUCACAUGAUCCAACCCACCUGAAGUGAGUGAAUUAUACUUCAGCAUGGAGGUGGUAGGGGAGGGACUGAAUGUUUUUUAACAAUAAUCCAUAGUGUCACAAUGGUGUGCUAUACUGUCUAAUAGGGUUGUCAGAAAUGAAUGAGAUAAAUGCUUAGUACAGUGCCUGGC